rnacentral:tRNA from 1 species
AAGAGAUCAAGAAAAAGUUUAGCUUCUAACUACAACUUAUAGCGGUUUAAUUCCGUUUAUCUCUUU